UGGAAACAGGUGCUAAUACCGGAUAAGAAAGCAGAUCGCAUGAUCAGCUUUUAAAAGGCGGCGUAAGCUGUCGCUAUGGGAUGGCCCCGCGGUGCAUUAGCUAGUUGGUAAGGCAAAGGCUUACCAAGGCGAUGAUGCAUAGCCGAGUUGAGAGACUGAUCGGCCACAUUGGGACUGAGACACGGCCCAAACUCCUACGGGAGGCAGCAGUAGGGAAUCUUCCACAAUGGACGCAAGUCUGAUGGAGCAACGCCGCGUGAGUGAAGAAGGUUUUCGGAUCGUAAAGCUCUGUUGUUGGUGAAGAAGGAUAGAGGUAGUAACUGGCCUUUAUUUGACGGUAAUCAACCAGAAAGUCACGGCUAACUACGUGCCAGCAGCCGCGGUAAUACGUAGGUGGCAAGCGUUGUCCGGAUUUAUUGGGCGUAAAGCGAGCGCAGGCGGAAGAAUAAGUCUGAUGUGAAAGCCCUCGGCUUAACCGAGGAACUGCAUCGGAAACUGUUUUUCUUGAGUGCAGAAGAGGAGAGUGGAACUCCAUGUGUAGCGGUGGAAUGCGUAGAUAUAUGGAAGAACACCAGUGGCGAAGGCGGCUCUCUGGUCUGCAACUGACGCUGAGGCUCGAAAGCAUGGGUAGCGAAC
rnacentral:rRNA from 1 species